AGCUCUUGGUUUUCCCUCAGGUCCCUUCUGGCUCCCACGGAUGGUGCUUUAACAUAGUCCAUGAUGCCAACCUGUACGCUGUGUAAAUGGACUCCCGAGAGAUGCUCUGCUCUUGAGAGAUGACUUUGGAACUGUGCAUCAUAAUCGAGAGAUGUAGGCUAUCCUUUAGAAGUGAGAGAAACAUUUUUUUUUUUUAAAUAGCAAUGAUGGUGUGAGACAGCCAGAAAAGGGAGUGCUUGAAGCAAGCAUUUGGAACCAUCCUUCUGAAGUAGCCUUGGUCUUGGAAAGCGCGCCAGCAAUGGAAGCUGUGUGGUGUGAUGACCUGCAAAGGCAGGUCUUCCAUUUACAUUUCAAACUCCAAGUCAGCCGUGUCAGAGUUUGAACAGGGGCUACAGAGCUUAAUGGGUCAGGCGCAAUUAGCAGGCCGGAGAGCUGCGUGCUGCGGUUGUGAGGAGCACACAAGAACAUACAGGACCUUCUCGAGUUUCACUGUCUGAAAAAUUUCAAAGCUGACCCAAGUCAAGCUGAAAAACGUUUAACACCUUGGGCCCGAACACAAGAAACCC